UUUGGCAAUGGUAGAACUCACUCUGGUGGGCUGGAAGGAUCCAGUGGUUCUAGACUUGCCAACAA
rnacentral:pre_miRNA from 1 species